rnacentral:lncRNA from 1 species
CAGGGCUUUUAAGGAUGCCAGAAAGAUGUCAGUGGAAUCCAUAGUUGGUGUUUCACCAAAUUAGAAUCACCCUACCCAGCUGCAAUGUAAAAUCCCUGGAGAAGGUGUUUGCUGACUUGAUCAGAGGCUCUAAAGACAAAAAAUCUCAAGUUAAGCUUAAUUAGUCUUUGAGACUCACUACAAGAAAAACUUUUAGUGAUGAAGGUUCUGAGACUUGGGAUUGUCUCUAGAUGAGACUCUACCAGAUUCAUUGACUUGCACAGUUCUUCUGAGAUUACUCUGAUGUUUUCCAUCAGUAUUGAGCCAAGAGUAGAGGCUGUAGUCACCGUUGCAGAUGCUU